rnacentral:misc_RNA from 1 species
GCCACUAGUGAGAGCUCGAGCCUAGGGGCGGGCGGGGGGACAACACCUCCUCGGUUCUCAGCCUAUUUCAGGCCAAUGAACCAAUGAGGUGACAAAUAUGGGGACAUUCCAGAAGUUCUGCCUUAGGUGGAACAACCACACUAGUAACUUAUUAGGAACGUUGGGCCAUAUCCUUGCUUCUGAACAACACUCAGAUGUCACUUUAUGCUGUCAGGGGGAAGUAUGGCGAUUACACAAACUAGUGCUGUGUGCAUCCAGUAGUCACUUUGAGAAGUUGCUUGGUGCACUACCACCUGGAAACUCUCCAAUUGUUGUAUUAGAUGGUCCUCACCCACAAGAUGUGGCCUCUCUCAUCCACUUCAUUUACCAUGGGGAGGUGAAUGUUGAUCAGGAGAACCUUGCAUCUCUACUUAGAACAGCAGAAAGUCUCAAGAUAAAAGGACUUGCAGAAGUAUCAUCUGUAACUAGUGGUGGUGAGCAUAAGACUCAAAGUGAUGGAGAGAGCCAAAGACAUCACAUCAGAGGCAGGUCAAGAAUUGGUAAUUGUCAGUCUGGUCCUAUAUAUACUAUAGGGAAUGAGUAUCCUGUAGGGAUGUAUGGCCUUGUUCCACAGAGCGUAUCACCACAUGCUCAAGUACCUGAUCCAUUGGAACGUGACCCAUCACCUCUAAACUUAUCUUUCAGUGGUUCAUUAAAAAAUAUCCAUGAUGAAACACCUCAGGAGAGGCAAGAAAGACGCAAUCGCUUGGAUGACCUUCUUUAUGCUGCUACUGAACGUAGCAAAAAGGAGGAGAGGCGGGAAGCUCGACGAGAGGCAAGAGAGGCAGCUUUGCGUGAAGCUGCUGCAAACCGUGAGUCUUCAGUGAUGAUAACACAAGAUCAAGCUGUUCUUCCCCCCUUAGCGAAACGUGCUAGAACUAUCGAUUCCUCUCGAACUACUGCCCUGCCUGCCCACCCAGCUUUUCAUAUUCCUCUGAUGAAUCUUACACUGCCUCCCAAUGCAUCUGCUUCUCUUGUCACUUCACAAAGUAUUUCAUCAACACACAAUUCUCAUUUACCUGAGACUAUAUCUUUAAAUGAAAAUGCAGCUGUAGUUUUACAAACCCAAGAUAUUCAUCAAGAACAUCUUAAUAAUCAAGAUAUGGAGGCAACUAUUAGAAAAUCUAUCAAGACUGAGAAGAUUGAGGUUUCUAGUGAUAUUAUCAUCAUGGAAGAUGCAGCAGUUAUUAGUGACGAGAGUGAUACCCAGAGUGCACCUGAGACUCCGAGUGACCUAAGCAAUGUUCCUAUAACGCAAGUGUUAAUCCCAGCCACUACUACUACAGCGACUCAAGUAUCCGGUUGUGGAACACUUGAUGACAUUAAUGCCGUAAAUACACUAUCAGCAUGCAGAGUGCAAAUCGUCCCAAGCACUACCAUAAUUGGCACAAAUGGCGUUUCUAUCACUCCUUCGGAAUCCAGUGAAGAAAAAGUGACCCCAUACUUGCACAGCAUCCUACAACAAGUAGCUGAAGGUGGCCCUGGGGCGGAGCCAGCAUCCUCAAACUCUCAAAGAGUUACUAUCAACAUGAGAACUUUUAAGGAGGAAUGGCGGCGGCAGCUUUUGGUAGACUAUGACACGCGCACAAACAUGAGCAUCUGCAUGCUCUGCUUCACCACCUUUAAGUCAUAUGAUGGCCCCAGGAAAAAUACAUAUGUCAAACAUGCAAAACGCUUCCAUCCAUCACUUGAGGAAUAUUCUGAGGAAGAGCGGGACCUCAUUAUCAGCAUGUACGAGAAGUAUCAUAAAUAUGAUGUGGACAUGCAAAAAGAAGUAAAUAAAUCAUACAGAGCUGCAAAUGCCAUAGUGGCACUAGGCAAGAAGGGAGCCAAGCACUGCGACAUUAAUGCAGAGGUAAUAACAGUUAGUGAACUCGGUGCCAAAGUCAGUACAGAAGGAGAAGCUCAAGAGGAAAAUUGUGAAGUUUCUACAGAAGUCAACAGCUUCAAAGAGGAGGAGGUCACAUGUGUCUCAGGUAAGAGUCGUUCCCAUACUCCAGAGAGUGACAUCAGCUUAGAAGCAAAUGAAAAACUCUCCGAGAGUUUUGAUGCAGAAGAUACAAGGGAAAAGUUUGAAAACAAUAACGUGUCUGUACCAGUACCAACAAAACGGAGCCAAAUGAACACUCGAGCUAAAAGUGCUGCAUCUACUGCCACAGUUGCUGUGUGAAUGUAUGUAUUCUAGUUCUGGGCCUCAAUAUAGCAUAAUUUUCACUGAAAAUUUGUUGUAGUUUUCAUGCAACCAGUUCUCACCAUUUGACAAUUGUAAAAUUUUAAGUGGUUUUACCGAACCAAAAGCAUAAAAACCUUGGCAACCCACCUAACCUAUAAAGGCCAAUACUCAUUAGUCUGAGGAAGUGUUGGAAUUGCGGUGCUUUUAAUUUCACUAAAGCACCAAGAUUUUUAUGCUGUGGUCAGUAGCUCAAAAUUGGGGUGCAUUAACUGUGAGGACAGGUCGCUUCAUGAGUGAUAACCCCCAGGGCUUACUUGUGAUACUUACUUAACACCGAAGGCAAGACUUUACACCGUUUUCAGUGCUUCUUAAAAUAUAUACUGUAACUAUAAUUACUCUGCUCUUUCUUGAAUUGAAUUAAGAAGCAUUUUCUACUAAAUUAUUGUAAUCUUUGUUAAUUGUUUUCCUGCCAUUUGAUAACAUAUCACAAACACCAAGAAAUCCGUACAAGCAAGGUGAAUAUUUUAUAAUUUGUGAAGUCGUAUCAACAUUUGUGCUCAAGACUCAAGUUAUAGGUUAUGUCCUUGUUGCAACUGUAGGACUCCUUAGAGGUCAUAAGAUAAAUUUGUAUAUUUUUUAUUAAAAUACAAACGACAACAUUAAUUUUUGGCAACCACUUUUGAACAAGACAUAUUCAUAUUGUAAAAGUUUUAUGAUAGCAGUGGUAUGUAAAAGUUAUAAAGCUGAGUUUCAUGCAAGUCUGUCAAGAUCCUAGGAAAAAUACUGCUUGUGAUGAUUGUCGUGCAAGUUCUUCUGCGUGUGUGCUUCUUCUGGCAAAAGCAACAUAUUGAUUCUUAACCCCUGCACUGUGCACCUGUUUAAUGUGACAACUCUGUCAUGCACACAAAAAAUUAAUUACCAAAAAAGCAAAUUUUCUUAAUAAUAUUGUUAAGAUGCAUUCCAUGAUCAUGGAAAACUAAAAAUAAGUUGUGUGUAGCUUAAUUUGGCUGCAAUGGAGAAAGGAAAAUAGCAAUGGCAUUACUAAUUCACACUCGCUGAUGGAUGAGACUCCCUGGGAAGGUCACCUGAGCCAGGCGGGUUGCAGGAGUUGCUGCGAAUAUAUUUUACUGAUUGAUUUCAGUGUCACCGAAUUGCUUUUUCACUGGAUUUUGCAGUUUCAUCAUGCAAUAGUGUGUAAUUUGAGAAAUAUCUAUAAUAAAUUAUGCAGAACAUCAAUAGAAACAAAAAUAUUUGUGUGACUAAAAUGUGCAUAAUAUUAUAUUCCUUCGACAAUAAAUAUAGUGUACACAUAUGUUACAUAUAACACUCUACAUGUUUAUGCACUGUCUGGAGCCAUUAAAAGCAGGUUAUGUGAGUGAUAAUCACAUAACCACAAUCCAAAGUCAGCCUAGAAUCUACAGAACAUGUAGAUUGUAGAUAUACACAGUUUUAUUUCUGUCACUAAUAUGAGUAUAAUAUUACAGUCUUUGAACAGUAAAACAUAUACAUUUUGCUGUUAUUUCUAUCUACACUUUUAUGCAUCAUAACAAACCUCUAAAGAAUUCUGAUGGGUGUGAUGGUGAAAAUCAAGCAAAGCAUAUCAAUACACAUUAUGAGCAGACAAGGACAACAAACACCACUACUUGACGCAACAAAAUGCCUUCAGUAUACAAUACUAUAUACUACUCACAUUGCAAAAUCUAGCUACAAUACUUGCCAUUAUUAUCAGAUUCUCAGUGAGUGCACCAUUCAUCAAACGAGAUAUCUCAGUAAACAUAGUACAGGGGUUAAAUCAAUUCAUGUCUUUGUCCUAAUGAAACACUUGAGUUAAUUCUCGCUUCAUAUGGUUUUAUUGUGUUAAAGUAAACUUUCAGUCCAUUACAAUAUAUAAAAAUAUAUUUAUUGUUUAAGUAAAAGUAUCAUGUCAAACAGCAAUUUUGUACUGGAGUGAUCUUUUAAUAUGCUGCUAAAAAGCAUUGAAAUGUGAUUGACAGUGGGAGAUAACUGCCCACGAAUACUCCAGAAUAUCUUGUACUGACGUGGAUUCAUCUGCUUUAUUUGUUCUACAAUCUUAAAGUAACUUUUCCACAUGAACAGUGAAUUAUUGUCUAAAUACAGCUAUUUAGAAUUAUUGUCUAAAUAUCAGCUAAAUAUCUGAUAUCUGGAGAGUUGUAUAAAUGUAUGAUGAUAAUGCUUGCAGAAUUUGUGCCAUGUCCAUAUACAGAUAUCAUCUGCAUAUCUUGCACUGGAUAAACAUGUGUGGCCAUAUCAAUUACUUUAGAAUAAUCAUAUCAUGUUGUUACAAACACUAAUUGUUGCCUAGUUUUAGGUAAGUUAUAGUUGGCAUAUUAUGUUGAUUGUAUUUCCAAAAUGUUACAAUUUUAUAUCAUUUUGCCCAAAUGCUGUAAUUUCUUUCUUAGUAUUAUUACAAGAUUGUCUUUCACUAACUUCAGAAAAUGAUAGGAGUGCUGUAUAUUUUUGUGGGCUUCUACAUUUAUUCCAGUAUGUAUAAACAUUACGUUUAAGCACGUAAUCGGUGGCCAAAAGCUGAAUUAAUUUUCUUGUGCCAAAUACAAAGUAAGUUAAGCUUAUGUUUUGUAUUAAUAAAUUGCAAGAAUGCUGUCAACUGUGUUGCAUCUGUGUGUUGUCAAUUAAUUUAUUACUGAUAUGCAAUUUCUCCAAGUUUUUCACAGAACAUAUCGCUACUAUUUAACUCAACAUAUCAUUUUAGCUAAAUUUCAAUACUGCUGUGUGUGUAUAUGUAUGUAUGCAUGUAUGAACAUAUGUAUGAAUGUAUAGUAUAUAUACUAUAUACUGUAUAUACUAUAUAGUGUAUAUAUACUGUAUAUUUACACUUGUUCAUACAUAUGAAAGGUAGUUGACUGGCCUUUGAAUGCCCAUAGAAGCAUCACUUCAAAAAAGGGCAUUUUUUUCUUCCGAGUGUCCUUUGAAGUUGGCUCCUCCUGAGUGUCUCCUCCUAACAUGGCUCCUCCUGAGAUGGCACCUACUAAGAUUGCUCCUCCUGAGGUGGCUCCUCUCAGGGUUGCUCUUCAUGAGGUGGCUCAUCCUGAGGGUGGUUCCUUCUGCGGUGGCUCUUCCCGAGGCAACUCCUCCUGAGGUAACUUCUUCUGAGAUGGCUCCUUCUGAGGUGACUUCUCCUGAGAUGGCUCCUCCUAAGGGGGCUCCUCCUAAAGUUGCUUCUAUCAAGGUGGCUCCUCCUGAGGCUGUUCCUGAGAUGACUCCUUCCAAGGUUGUUCCUCGCAAGGUGGCUCCUCCUGAGAUGACUCCUUCCGAAGUUGUUCCUCCCAAGGUGACUCCUCCUGAGGCUGCUUCUCAUAAGGUGGCCCUUCCCGUGGCUGCUGCUACUAAUGUGGCUCCUCUCGAGGUUGCUCCUACUAAGGUGGCUCCUGAAGUUGCUCCUCCUGAGGUGGCUCCUUCCAAGGUCGUUCCUCUUUAGAUGGCUCCUCCCGAGGUGGCUACUUCCAAGGUGGCUCCUGAGGUGACUCCUCCUGAGGUGGUUCCUGAAGUGACUCCUCCCGAGGUGGUGGCUCCUGAGGUGACUCUUCCCGAGGUGGUUCCUGAGGUGACUCCUCCCGAGGUGGUUCCUGAGGUGACUCCUCUCGAGGUGGCUCUAAUAUUUUGGCCACAUUCGUAGUCUGACUGGAACAGUUUAUUUGAUUUUUAAUUUGUAUAGUUUUCUGUUGUAUAUAAAGAUACCAUUCUUUAUCUUCUGCAACCAUAUUCUCACUAUUCUAUUUAUACUUAUUAAGGCAGCCUAUAUUCUUCUUACAUAUUCUUUAGUAAUUAUUUUAUAUAUAAGGCUAUUUAUCAGAUUAUUGUUGAGAAAUAUUUGUAAAGUUAGAGCCCACAUCUCCUCAGUAGGCACAGUAUCCAAGAGUAGCAUUGUUUGAUGUUGAAUCAACAUACCUUGAGUAUACCUUGAGAUGAUUCCGGGGCUCAGCAACCCUGUAGCCCGGUCCUCAACUAGGCCUCCUGGUUGCUGGAUUGGUCAUCCAGGCUGGUGGACGCAGCUGCUCACAGCCUAAUGUAUGAGUCACAGCCUGGUUGAUCAGGUAUCCUUUGGAGGUGUUUGUCAAGUUCUUUCUUGAACACUGUGAGGGGUUGGCCAGUUUUGCCCCUUAUGGGAAGUGGAAGCGUGAUGAACAGCCUUGGGCCUCUGAUGUUGAUAGAGUUCUCUCUCAGAGUACUUGUUGCCCCUCUGCUUUUCAAUGGGGUAUUCUGCACAUCCUGCCAUGCCUUCUGGUCUCAUGUGGUGUUAUUUCUGAGUGCAGGUUUGCUACCAGGUCCUCUAAUAUUCUUUUUCUCAUUCAACAUUGAAUCAAUAUUGAUGAUGUUGAUUUGCUGUUGAAUUGGCAUUACUCUUGUAUACUGUGACCACUGGAUUAUUAACCUUUUCAAUGCUCCAAUCGGCAUGUGCCAAUUCUCCCAUUUGAUUUGUUAAUUAUGUUUAGUCAUGUGCACCCUCAAUGUAGUACUUAGUACUAAAUGACAAAAAAAGCUGUGCUAUAUCAGGAUUAAGCAUGUCAAAAAUACAUGCCCCAAUCCACAUACAUUAUAUAAAGGCUGGUAGAGGACUUAAAUAAACCACAGGUUUAUUUAUUUUGAUGUAACAGUGAUUGUUACAUCGUCAGAGUAUUAUAAAUGUUGUUGAUAAGAAAAAUGAAACAAUCUCAAACAGUGAGUUGGUGUACAGAACUUCUCAUAUUGACAAGUAGGAACUUAUGUUUAGAAAAGUGUGCCUAUAAGCAUGCAGCUCACAUCUUCAUGUUUCUGUUUAAUAAUCUGGUAAAUGAGCCCCUUCAACUUUUAAAUUACAAAUUCAUCGACAACAUUUUUUCUUAAUAAAGUUUAUAGGUUCUUUCAUUAAAUUUAUUUCUCUUAUAUAUUUCAUAUGAUCGGUUUCCUUUAGUGUUUUCUCUAUUAUUUCCGCAAAUUCUAUAACAGUUUAUGUGAAAGAAUAAAUGCAUUAUAUUUGAGCAGUAUCUCUGGAAAUAAAUGUUUGCAACAGA